rnacentral:rRNA from 1 species
GACGAACGCUGGCGGCGUGCUUAACACAUGCAAGUCGAACGGAAAGGCCCUGCUUUUGUGGGGUGCUCGAGUGGCGAACGGGUGAGUAACACGUGAGUAACCUGCCCUUGACUUUGGGAUAACUUCAGGAAACUGGGGCUAAUACCGGAUAGGAGCUCCUGCUGCAUGGUGGGGGUUGGAAAGUUUCGGCGGUUGGGGAUGGACUCGCGGCUUAUCAGCCUGUUGGUGGGGUAGUGGCUUACCAAGGCUUUGACGGGUAGCCGGCCUGAGAGGGUGACCGGCCACAUUGGGACUGAGAUACGGCCCAGACUCCUACGGGAGGCAGCAGUGGGGAAUAUUGCACAAUGGGCGGAAGCCUGAUGCAGCAACGCCGCGUGCGGGAUGACGGCCUUCGGGUUGUAAACCGCCUUCGCCUGUGACGAAGCGUGAGUGACGGUAAUGGGUAAAGAAGCACCGGCUAACUACGUG